rnacentral:rRNA from 1 species
GACGAACGCUGGCGGCGUGCUUAACACAUGCAAGUCGAGCGGUAAGGCCCUUUCGGGGGUACACGAGCGGCGAACGGGUGAGUAACACGUGGGUGACCUGCCCUCAGCUCUGGGAUAAGCCUGGGAAACUGGGUCUAAUACUGGAUAUGACUCCACGGUGCAUGUCGUGGGGUGGAAAGCCUUGUGCGGCUGAGGAUGGGCCCGCGGCCUAUCAGCUUGUUGGUGGGGUGANGGCCUACCAAGGCGACGACGGUAGCCGGCCUGAGAGGGCGACCGGCCACACUGGGACUGAGACACGGCCCAGACUCCUACGGGAGGCAGCAGUGGGGAAUCUUGCGCAAUGGGCGAAAGCCUGACGCAGCGACGCCGCGUGAGGGAUGACGGCCUCGG